UCAGUCCUUAAAAAAACAUAGCACUCCUCUCCCACCAAUACACAUAAAAUACAGACAAAUAAGCAAAAUAAUAUAACCAACUGAAAUACUUGCUUUCUGCCAAGGAAAAUGAUCUGUUAGAACGGAGGGAGCACAAGGAUUGUGUUUGAAAUCUAAACAGUCUAGCUGACUUAAAAAAAUGACCAUCCCACGUUAUGUUUCCUGCUUAUUUUCAAAGAAAGCAUAUAGAGCUACAGAUAGAAAAAAAAUUGCAUGAGGUGUCAGGAUGGACUGGGAAAGCACAAGCUCUGUUCCAUUUUCCCAUAACAAUGACAAUAUGAAAGAAAUCUUGAGAAGCAAUUUUAAGAUAUUCUAUAGACAGAGAAACUUUACAUUCUCUAAUAUUGGUG
rnacentral:misc_RNA from 1 species